CCCUUAGAUGUUCUGGGCAGCACGCGCGCUACAAUGGUCUUCGCAAACGGAUGCAUUCUCGAAGGAGAAUGCCAAUCUUGGAAUCAAUGCCUUGGUCGGGACAGUUGCUUGCAAUUUUUCGACUCGAACCAGGAAUUCCUUGUAAUCGUGAUUCAUCACAUCACGAUGAAUACGUCCCUGCCCUUUGUACACACCGCCCGUCGCUCCUACCGAUCGAAGAGUUAGGUGAAUUGUUUUGAUCGAUAAGAUUUGACUAUGGUCAACUCUCGUUGUGAAAUUCUGUGAAUCUGACUGUUUAGAGGAAGGAAAAGUCGUAACA
rnacentral:rRNA from 1 species